rnacentral:rRNA from 1 species
GACGAACGCUGGCGGCGUGCUUAACACAUGCAAGUCGAACGGAAAGGCCCUGCUUUUGUGGGGUGCUCGAGUGGCGAACGGGUGAGUAACACGUGAGUAACCUGCCCUUGACUUUGGGAUAACUUCAGGAAACUGGGGCUAAUACCGGAUAGGAGCUCCUGCUGCAUGGUGGGGGUUGGAAAGUUUCGGCGGUUGGGGAUGGACUCGCGGCUUAUCAGCUUGUUGGUGGGGUAGUGGCUUACCAAGGCUUUGACGGGUAGCCGGCCUGAGAGGGUGACCGGCCACAUGGGGACUGAGAGACGGCCCAGACUGCUACGGGAGGCAGCAGUGGGGAAUAUUGCACAAUGGGCGGAAGCCUGAUGCAGCAACGCCGCGUGCGGGAUGACGGCCUUCGGGUUGUAAACCGCUUUCGCCUGUGACGAAGCGGGAGUGACGGUAAUGGGUAAAGAAGCACCGGCUAACUACGUG